rnacentral:rRNA from 1 species
GACGAACCGUGCGAACGUUGUUCGGAAUCACUGGGCUUAAAGGGCGCGUAGGCGGCUGAUCAAGUCAGGGGUGAAAUCUUUCGGCUCAACCGGAAAAGUGCCUUUGAUACUGGUCAGCUUGAGGGAGGUGGGGGCAUGUGGAACUUCCGGUGGAGCGGUGAAAUGCGUUGAUAUCGGAAGGAACGCCGGUGGCGAAAGCGACGUGCUGGCCCUCUUCUGACGCUGAGGCGCGAAAGCUAGGGGAGCGAACGGG